CAGGUCCCGGUUCACGUCCGUUAUUUCUGUGAUGCGGGCGACCCGGCGGCC
rfam:Mycobacterium shimoidei strain HMC_M2 PROKKA_contig000006, whole genome shotgun sequence.